UACGUAGGGUGCAAGCGUUAAUCGGAAUUACUGGGCGUAAAGCGUGCGCAGGCGGUUUUGUAAGUCUGUCGUGAAAUCCCCGGGCUCGAACCUGGGAAUGGCGAUGGAGACUGCAAGGCUAGAGUUUGGCAGAGGGGGGUAGAAUUCCGACGUGUAGCAGUGAAAUGCGUAGAUAUGUCGGAGGAACACCGAUGGCGAAGGCAGCCCCCUGGGUCAAAACUGACGCUCAUGCACGAAAGCGUGGGGAGCAAACAGG
rnacentral:rRNA from 1 species